rnacentral:rRNA from 1 species
CCUACGGGAGGCAGCAGUGAGGAAUAUUGGUCAAUGGACGAAAGUCUGAACCAGCCAAGUAGCGUGAAGGAUGACUGCCCUCUGGGUUGUAAACUUCUUUUAUAUGGGAAUAAAAUGUUCCACGUGUGGGCUUUUGUAUGUACCAUAUGCAUAAGGAUCAGCUAACUCCGUGCCCUCCGCCGCGGUAAUACGGAGGAUCCGAGCGUUGUCCGGAUUUGUUUGGUUUAAAGGGAGCGUAGGUGGAAUGUUAAGUCCAUUGUGAAAGUUUGGGGCUCAAACGGAAAAUUGCAGGUGAAACUGGCAGGCUUGAGUAGAGUAGAGGGGGGCGGAAUUCGUGGUGUAGCGGUGAAAGGCUGAGAUAUCACGAAGAAUUCCGAUGGCGAAGGCAGCUCACUGGACUGAAACUGACACUGAGGUGCGAAAGUGUGGGUAUCAAACAGGAUUAGAUACCCCUGUAGUC